rnacentral:rRNA from 1 species
AGUCAAGUAAUUAAGUGCAUGUGGUGGAUGCCUUGGCAGUCAGAGGCGAUGAAAGACGUGAUAGCCUGCGAAAAGCUCCGGGGAGGCGGCAAAUAUCCUUUGAUCCGGAGAUGUCUGAAUGGGGGAACCCACCUACUUUAAGGUAGGUAUUGCAACAUGAAUACAUAGUGUUGCAAGGCGAACGAGGGGAAGUGAAACAUCUCAGUACCCUUAGGAAAAGAAAUCAAUUGAGAUUCCCUCAGUAGCGGCGAGCGAACGGGGAUCAGCCCAUUAAGUUAUGUGUGUUUUAGUGGAACGCUCUGGGAAGUGCGAACGUAGAGGGUGAUAUUCCCGUACACGAAAGGGCACACAUAAUGAUGACGAGUAGGGCGAGGCACGUGAAACCUUGUCUGAAUAUGGGGGGACCAUCCUCCAAGGCUAAAUACUCCUGACUGACCGAUAGUGAACCAGUACCGUGAGGGAAAGGCGAAAAGAACCCCUGUGAGGGGAGUGAAAUAGAUCCUGAAACCGCAUGCAUACAAGCAGUGGGAGCACCUUCGUGGUGUGACUGCGUACCUUUUGUAUAAUGGGUCAGCGACUUAUAUUCAGUAGCGAGGUUAACCGUAUAGGGGAGCCGUAGAGAAAUCGAGUCUUAAUAGGGCGUUUAGUUGCUGGGUAUAGACCCGAAACCAGGCGAUCUAUCCAUGAGCAGGUUGAAGGUUGGGUAACACUAACUGGAGGACCGAACCCACUGUCGUUGAAAAGCCAGGGGAUGACUUGUGGAUAGGGGUGAAAGGCUAAUCAAGCCUGGUGAUAGCUGGUUCUCCCCGAAAGCUAUUUAGGUAGCGCCUCGGACGAAUACCAUAGGGGGUAGAGCACUGUUUCGGCUAGGGGGUCAUCCCGACUUACCAAACCGAUGCAAACUCCGAAUACCUAUGAGUACUAUCCGGGAGACAGACUGCGGGUGCUAACGUCCGUAGUCAAGAGGAAAACAAUCCAGACCGCCAGCUAAGGCCCCAAAAUCAUAGUUAAGUGGGAAACGAUGUGGGAAGGCAUAGACAGCUAGGAGGUUGGCUUAGAAGCAGCCACCCUUUAAAGAAAGCGUAAUAGCUCACUAGUCGAGUCGGCCUGCGCGGAAGAUGUAACGGGGCUAAA